CCAGACUCCUACGGGAGGCAGCAGUGGGGGAUAUUGGGCAAUGGGGGAAACCCUGAUCCAGCGACGCCGCGUGAGUGAAGAAGUAUUUCGGUAUGUAAAGCUCUGUCAGCAGGGAAGAAAGAAAUGACGGUACCUGACCAAGAAGCCCCGGCUAACUACGUGCCAGCAGCCGCGGUAAUACGUAGGGGGCAAGCGUUAUCCGGAAUUACUGGGUGUAAAGGGGGCGUAGACGGUGAUGCAAGUCUGGAGUGAAAGGCGGGGGCCCAACCCCCGGACUGCUUUGGAAACUGUAUAACUGGAGUGCAGGAGAGGUAAGUGGAAUUCCUAGUGUAGCGGUGAAAUGCGUAGAUAUUAGGAGGAACACCAGUGGCGAAGGCGGCUUACUGGACUGUAACUGACGUUGAGGCUCGAAAGCGUGGGGAGCAAACAGGAUUAGAUACCCCGGUAA
rnacentral:rRNA from 1 species